GACGGAGGGGGCAAGCGUUGUUCGGAAUUAUUGGGCGUAAAGGGCUCGUAGGCGGAUCCGCCAGUCUGACGUGAAAUCUCCACCGCUCACCGGGGAGGGGCCGUUGGAUACUACGGAUCUGGAGUUCGGCAGAGGACCAUGGAAUUUCGGGUGUAGCGGUGGAAUGCGCAGAUAUCAGGAGGAACACCGGUGGCGAAGGCGGUUCUCUGGGCAUUACCUAACGCUGAGGAGCGAAAGCAUGGGGAGCGAACAGG
rnacentral:rRNA from 1 species